rnacentral:rRNA from 1 species
GACGAACGCUGGCGGCGUGCCUAAUACAUGCAAGUAGAACGCUGAAGGAGGAGCUUGCUUCUCUGGAUGAGUUGCGAACGGGUGAGUAACGCGUAGGUAACCUGCCUGGUAGCGGGGGAUAACUAUUGGAAACGAUAGCUAAUACCGCAUAAGAGUAGAUGUCGCAUGACAUUUGCUUAAAGGGUGCAAUUGCAUCACUACCAGAUGGACCUGCGUUGUAUUAGCUAGUUGGUGAGGUAACGGCUCACCAAGGCAACGAUACAUAGCCGACCUGAGAGGGUGAUCGGCCACACUGGGACUGAGACACGGCCCAGACUCCUACGGGAGGCAGCAGUAGGGAAUCUUCGGCAAUAGACGGAAGUCUGACCGAGCAACGCCGCGUGAGUGAAGAAGGUUGUCGGAUCGUAAAGCUCUGUUGUAAGAGAAGAACGAGUGUGAGAGUGGAAAGUUCACACUGUGACGGUAUCUUACCAGAAAGGGACGGCUAACUACGUG